rnacentral:rRNA from 1 species
CCCGCUGAACUUAAGCAUAUUAGUCAGUGGAGGAAAAGAAACUAACUAGGAUUCCCUCAGUAAUGGUGAAUGAACAGGGAGGAGCCCAGCACUGAAUUUCUGUUCUGUGGUGGGGUGCGGGAAAUGUGGUAUACAGAAGACCCACUCCCCGGUGCUGCUCUCAGGGGGCCCAAGUCCUUCUGAUCGAGGCAGUCCAUGGAUGGUGUGAGGCUGGUAGGGACCAGGUCUUUUCAGAGUCGGGUUGCUUGGGAAUGCAGCCCAAAGUGGGUGGUAAACUCCAUCUAAGGCUAAAAACUGGCACAAGACUGAUAGUCAACAACAACCAUAAGGGAAAGUUGAAAAGAACUUUGAAGAGAGAGUUCAAGAGGGCGUGAAACUGUUAAGAGUUAAAUGAGUGGGGUCUGUGCAGUCUGUCCAGAGGAUUCAACCUGGCGGGUUCGGUCGGCUGGCCUGGGACAACGGAUCCCCCUCAUACCUCCCUCCAGUCCUCCAGUUGGGGACCACUGCCUGAAUGACCCCGGUCUCCAUCAGGUGCAUUUCCACCAUGGUGAUGUACUGCAACCAGCUCUGGGUCAGCUUGGAAGGCCUGGUGGGCAGGUGGCUCGCCGCUUUGCAGCGGCAAGUAUUACUUAAGCAGCUCUCACCACAUCCUGGGGUUGAGGGAGAUGGCCGCUGCCAUGCCUUCCCCCGCAGCCCCCCCAUCCCCCCUAUUCACGGUGGGGGGUGGUGUGGGGGCCUGCCGGGGGAUGGGCCUCCUCGCUCCUGGCAUGACUGUCAACUUGGGUGGACUGUCCUCAGUGCACCCUGACCGCAUCCCACUGCUGGGCAGGGAGGGCCACGCUGGGUGCCUGGGGGUCUGUGGCAAUGUUGGCCACCCACCUGACCCAUCUGGAAACAUGGACCAAGGAGUCUAACAGGUGCACAAGUCAGAGGCUUCAACGAAAGCCCAUGGCACAAUGAAGGUGAGGGUAAGUGCGUGUCAGCUGAGUUAGGAUCCUGAGGCCACUGUUUGUGAAGGGCACACCACCGGCCCUUCUUGCCUGCCCCAUCAGAGAAGUGGAGCAUGAGUGUACGUGCUAGGACCCCAAAGAUGGUGAACUAUGCCUGGGCAGAGCGAAGCCAGAGGAAACUCUGGUGGAGGUCUGUAGCGGUCCUGAUGUGCAAAUCGGUCACCUGACCUGGGUAUAGGGGCAAAAGACUAAUCGAACCAUCUAGUAGCUGGUUCCCUCCAAAGUUUCUGUACCCACCUCCGCUCUACUAAGUGUUCCAGUGCAGCCUUCACCCGGGCCCAAGAUUUUGUGUGCCCUGGGCUUGCGGGUGCACCCUGGAGGUUACCCCUGCUGGUAUCAGGGGGACCCCUGAACUCUCCUGCCAUGACUUUGAAUGUACCUUCUGUGCGGGCCGGGAGUGGUCCGAGGCUUUUGGGGGCGCGCGGCGGGCUGUGGCCAGCAGCNNNNNNNNNNNNNNNNNNNNNNNNNNNNNNNNNNNNNNNNNNNNNNNNNNNNNNNNNNNNNNNNNNNNNNNNNNNNNNNNNNNNNNNNNNNNNNNNNNNNGAAAUAAUUCUGCAGUGCCGAAGCAUACACAAAAUCAUACCCUUGGGUUAUGACACCUUCAGUGGGGGGUCCUCCCUUGGGGUAGCCACUGGUGUUGGCACGUUCCUCGGUGAGUAGUCUCAGGGCUCAGACCUCCCCUACACCCCGGCCACUCGCCACCUUAGGCCCUACCUCCUAUGGCCUCCGCGUUGUCCUUGGCUUGCCACCCUCUCGCCCCCGAUACGCUGGCCAUCAAUAACGGUCUUCGGGCUGGGCGUACUGCCUACUGGGAUGCCAGCCCAGCCCUUCCGACCCGGUACCUGCUUCACUCCGGUGGUCCGCGAGGCAGCCGUAUCUGCCACUGGCUCCACUCUGUAUGGUGCCUCCGGUUACCUCACCGACGUACCUCUUCCAACGCGGCUGGCUUCUCUGCCACUCCUGCUGCUUACAAAGCCGCCAAUUCCCCCACCAGUUCUGUGGUCGGGGAUCCAGUCAGCUCCUCCUCCGGCUCUAUUGUCAGUGCUGCAGCUGGUUCCCUUCCCAGCUAGGCUGCCUGGGGCUCCGUCUGCUCGUCCUCCAGCUCUGUUGCUGGUGCUGUAGCUGGUUUCUUCACCAGCCACGCUGACCGGGAUCCCGUCAGCUCCUCUUCCGGCUCUGCUACCGGUGCUGCCGACAGCUGCGGUGCUGGCUCCUUCACCAGCACAGCUGCCAGUUGCUCUGCUCCGUUUCUCGGAGCCGAGUCUGGCUCCGCCUCCCUCUCUCCCAGACUCUGUGGGUGGCGGCUGAUCCUCCGCUUGCUGAGGUUUGUCCCUCCAGCCUACUCCUCUCAGCCGCCCCGUUGCCUUGGCGGGCCGCCUUUUGUUCCUCCCGGAAGGCGUCCCCCGCCUCCGCUGCUUUGCCACAGCUGGAUAAAUGCCUGGCUGAUAACCCGUGCUGGCGUUCUCGGCGUGCGCGCCUCCUCCAGCUCUUCUGGCUCUGCAGGAGGUAAGCGGGAGUCUUUGCUGUCCCGGGGGCCUUCUGACAUCCCAGCUCCCCUGGGACAGUUUCCCUCAGGAUAGCUGGCACUUGUCCGUCUCCACAGUUUUAUCUGGUAACGUGAAUGAUUAGAGGUCUUGGGGCCGAAACAAUCUCAACCUAUUCUCAAACUUUAAAUGGGUAAGAAGCCUGGCUUGCUGGUGUGGAGCCAGGCAUUGAAUGCAAGUGCCUGUGGGCCACUUUUGGUAAGCAGAACUGGCACUGUGGGAUGAACCAAACACUAGGUUAAGGCACCCGAUGCCAACGCUCAUCAGACCCCAGAAAAGGUGUUGGUUGAUAUAGACAGCAGGACGGUGGCCAUGGAAGUUGGAAUCCACUAAGGAGCGUGUAACAACUCACCUGUCGAAUCAGCCCUGAAAAUGGAUAGCGCUGGACCAUUGGGCCGAUACCCAGCCGUCACCAGCAAUGAGAGGGCGCAGGCCCAGGUGGAGCUGCCACAGGUGCAGAUCUUGGUGGUAGUAGCAAAUAUUCAAUUGAAAACUUUGGCGGAAGUGGAGAAGGGUUCCAUGUGAACAGCAGAUGAACAUAGGUCAGUCGGCCCUAAGAGAUAGGUGAGCGCUGUUCCAAAGGGACAGGCGAUGGCCUCCAUUGCCCUCAGCCAAUUGAAAGGGAGUUGGGCUCAGAUCCCUGAAUCCGGAGUGGUGGAGACAGGCAGCCAUGAGGUGUCCAGUGCGGUAACACAACCGAUCCUGGAGAAGCUGGUGGGAGCCCCAGGAAGAGUUCUCUUUUCUUUGUGAAGGACAGGGCACCCUGGAAUGGGUUCACCCCGAGAGAGGGGCCCGAGCCAAGGAAAGCAUCGUGGUUCUGGUGGUGUCCAAUGAGCUCUCACUGAUCCUUGAAAAUCCAGGGGAGAAGUUGUAAAUCUCACGCCAGGCCAUACCCAUAUCCACAGCAGGUCUCCAAGUUGAAUAGCCUCUGGCAUGUUAGCACAAUGUAAGUAAGGGAAGUCAGCAAGCUGGAUCUAUAACUUUGGGAUAAGGAUUGGCUCUGAGGGCUGGGGCAGUUGGGGUGGGAUGUGAAGAGGGGCUGGGUGUGAGCCAUGGCUGGAUGAGGCACCUUCCCCCCCCCGGGUGGGGGGCAGCAGCGACUCUGGAUGUGAGCUGGGACCUUCCUGUGGAUGAUCCCAGCUGCGGUGGGCAUCACCCGCCUUUCCUCCUCCACGGGGAUGGGGGCGGGGUGGUGUUCCACCUUGGCCUGUGCCUAGCAGGUGACUUAGAACUGGUGCAGACUAAGGGAAUCUGACUGUUGAAUUAAAACAAAGCAUAGCAAAGGCCCACGGUGGGUGUUGAUGCGAUGUGAUUUCUGCCCAAUGCUCUGAAUGUUGAAGUGAAGAAAUUCAAUGAAGCAUGGGUAAAUGGCAGGAGUAACUAUGACUCUCUGGCGGGAGUAACUAUGACUCUCUUAAGGAGGUGCCUCCUUUAAGGGCAAUGGUCUGGUUACAUGGUUGUAGCAGGUUUGUGUCAGGUACCUCCCUGUGGUUCCUGCUGGGUACUGAAGCCCCUGGGCUGUCGGUGGCUCGACUCUGACACAGUACAGCCAAGGGAGUUCUUCCCUGCUGUCGAGUGCUUCACACACGUUUGCAGCCAUUCGCCUAGUGCAAAAAACACAUACGUCCAUAAAGGGACAAUUAGCUAGUCGCCUCUGCUGCUAGUCAAACCUGGUCAUCACUCAGGUACCUGUGGUGAAUGGCCAGUCAUUACCGCACCAACAUCUUGUGCCAUUAGAGGGGGACCUCAAUGACCGGGGAAAACCACACUUGUUGUGAGUCAGCCAGGUGGAAUAAUCCUGACUACAGGCCCAUGAGGACUGACAGACGGGGAGGGGGUUGUGGAGCCCCCAUCUCAGUCUUGGGGGCAUCCCCACGUCUUGUGCCGCUAGAGGGGAACCUCAGUGACCAGUGCAAGCCACACUUGUUGUGAGUCAGCCGCGUGGAAUAAUCCUGACUGUGGGCCCACGAGGGCUGACAGACUGGGAGGGGGUUGCAGAGCCUCCUUCUCAGUCUUGGAGGCAUCCCCACAUCUUGUCCCGUGAGAGGGGAACCUUGAAGAUCAGGGCAAGCCUCACUUGCUAAGACCCGUUCCCAAGGGGCAUGAGGCAUGUGUUCUGAGCCGGGAGGGGUGAUACCCGACAAUCAGCACAGCACAGCACAGACUGAAGGGAGGCACUUGCUGAGAGUGUUUCUGACUACUCCUAGACUUGGGGUGGUGCUGCUUCAUCUGAUGUACAGUCAAGCACCCUACUGCUCCCUUUGGGCAGCACAAUACAUCAAGACCCCCUACUCACCCAAGUCUGUGCUUUGUUCAGCUAUCCUGCAUUUCCAAUCCACCUCACUGUCUCCCCUCUGUGCUGCUUUUCUCUCAAGUGGGAAAUCUUGUAAUGAUUACCUCCCAUGUUUCCGCUCAGGGCAGCCACCCACAUGACAGAUAACUGGUGCACAACAGCCAUCAUGAGACAAUCCGGACCCUCCGGUGGUCGCUAUAGUCACUUUGCGUUGCAUGGGGCACGCUGAGUCACUUAACUGAAAGACUCCAAAUAACUCAGAAGAGGUACCCUUUGGGGUUUGGUAAAUAGUCAAAUGCCUCAUCAUCUAAUUAGUGACGUGCAUGAAUGGAAGAAUGAGAUUCCCAUUGUCCCUACCUACUAUCUAGUGAAAGGACAGCCAAGGGAAUGGGCUUGG